CUUGGGUCCCCACGGCCACGCUCCGCUCCUUCUUCCUUCGCCGCCGCUGCCAGCGCUCCUGCCGGACAUGCCUUUCGUUGAGCUGGACACGAACUUGCCCGCCGAUCGCGUGCCCGCGGGGCUGGAGAAACGUCUCUGCGCGGCCACCGCCACCAUCCUGGGCAAACCUGAGGACCGCGUGAACGUGACGGUGCGGCUGGGCCUGUCCAUGGCGCUGAACGGCUCCACGGAGCCCUGCGCGCAGCUGCUCGUCUCCUCCAUCGGCGUGGUGGGCACAGCGGAGGAGAACCGAGGCCACAGCGCUCGCCUCUUCGAGUUCCUCACCAAGGAGCUGGCCUUGGGCCAGGACCGGCUGCUCAGAAGGAAUUCGGGGUAUGUCCAGAGAUUAUGACCUUUGGACUUGUGGCCCAACCGCGUUCCAGGAUCAUUAUCCGCUUUUUACCCCUGGAGCCCUGGCAGAUUGGCAAGAAAGGGGCAGUCAUGACUUUUUUGUGAUUGGCAUCUGUGAGCUGGUUGCCCCUUGCAGAAAGACUUCCUGGCAGAGCAAGGGCCUAGUGGAUAAUACCAGCUUUGGACACUUCCUCGUGCAGACACGUCUGUGACCUCACAGUCCUCU